rnacentral:snoRNA from 1 species
GAGGUGUGCUCAGAGCAGGGGGCCUGAAGAAUGGCUCCUCUGUUUAUAACACACCCAACAGGAAUCUGGAGUCAUUGUGAUGAGAAGCAUGAAGCUUGUGGCUUCCCUACAAACAAAUGCUCUACAUGU